GUCGCAGCUUGGGGCCUCCGCUGUUUUUCUUUCUGUUUCAUCCACGCUGCUCUUUGAAUCCCAACUUGCACAGUGACAUCCCAGGACUCCCUGGAGUAUCAGAGCUCAGGACGCCCCAAAGCAACCUCCCUGUGUUACUUCCUGCCAUGCAAACCACCCCCAAUCUGCAGGCUCUGGGCCCUUUCCCCUGGGACCAGUGCAGAGGAGGGUGAGGGCUUCCAGCUGGAGACCGUGGACGACUCAGCCUACAGAGUCAUGGAUUUGAGGGAAGGCUCAACAUUGGAGCUGUAGCUAUGUGAUAAUUGGCUGUAACCUCUGGAGGUAACGGGGCUCCCUGCUCACUUCGUCUGAAAUCUCUUCAUCUUGGUUG
rnacentral:lncRNA from 1 species